rnacentral:rRNA from 1 species
ACCUACGGGGCGCAGCAGUAGGGAAUCUUCCACAAUGGACGAAAGUCUGAUGGAGCAACGCCGCGUGAGUGAAGAAGGGUUUCGGCUCGUAAAGCUCUGUUGGUAGUGAAGAAAGAUAGAGGUAGUAACUGGCCUUUAUUUUACGGUAAUUACUUAGAAAGUCACGGCUAACUACGUGCCCGCAGCCGCGGUAAUACGUAGGUGGCAGGCGUUGUCCGGAUUUAUUUGGCGUAAAGCGAGUGCAGGCGGCUUCAAAAAUCU